UAGGGAAUCUUCGGCAAUGGGGGGAACCCUGACCGAGCAACGCCGCGUGAGUGAAGAAGGUUUUCGGAUCGUAAAGCUCUGUUGUUAAGGAAGAACGUGUGUGAGAGUGGAAAGUUCACACAGUGACGGUACUUAACCAGAAAGGGACGGCUAACUACGUGCCAGCAGCCGCGGUAAUACGUAGGUGGCAAGCGUUAUCCGGAAUUAUUGGGCGUAAAGCGCGCGUAGGCGGUUUUUAAGUCUGAUGUGAAAGCCCACGGCUCAACCGUGGAGGGUCAUUGGAAACUGGAAAACUUGAGUGCAGAAGAGGAAAGUGGAAUUCCAUGUGUAGCGGUGAAAUGCGCAGAGAUAUGGAGGAACACCAGUGGCGAAGGCGACUUUCUGGUCUGUAACUGACGCUGAUGUGCGAAAGCGUGGGGAUCAAACAGGAUUAGAUACCCUGGUAGUCCACGCCGUAAACGAUGAGUGCUAAGUGUUAGGGGGUUUCCGCCCCUUAGUGCUGCAGCUAACGCAUUAAGCACUCCGCCUGGGGAGUACGACCGCAAGGUUG
rnacentral:rRNA from 1 species